rnacentral:rRNA from 1 species
GACGUAGGUCGCGAACGUUAUCCGGAAUUAUUGGGCGUAAAGGGUGCGUAGAUGGUAUAAUAAGUUAUCAGCGGUAAAUCGGGGCUCAACCUCGUGGAAGUCGGUAAUACUGUUAUACUCGAGUACAGGAGAGGUUAACGGAACUCCAUGUGGAGCGGUAAAAUGCGUAGAUAUAUGGAAGAACAUCGGUGGCGAAGGCGGGUCUCUGGGCAGUAACUGACGCUGAGAAGCGAAAGCGUGGGGAGCGAACAGG